ensembl:lncRNA
UUUUAGGGCCGUACCACCAGCAUACAGAUGUUCCUAGGCUAGGGGCUGAAUCAGAGCUACAGCUGCUGGCCUACACCACAGCCACAGCAAUGCCAGAUCCUUAACACAGUGAGCCUUAACCCGUGAGCCUUAACCCGAAACCUCAUGGUUCCUAGUCGGAUUCAUUUCUGCUGCGCCACGACGAUGGGAACUCUGUGUCUUUUUUAUGCUAGUGAGAUGACUGGUAGCUAGGGGCCCCCAGAUAGCUUCCAGAUGGGGGGGCUGCUUGCCAAAAAGUCAGGGUUAUAGGAUUGCAACAUUCAGCCCCAUCCCAAGAGAAGGGAGAGGGGCUGGAGAUUGAGUUAAUCACCAAUGGCCAAUAUGUAAUCAAUAAUGCCUACAUGAUGAUGCUUCCAUAAAAACUCCCAAAAUUAUGGAGUUCAGAGAGAUUCCAGUUUGGAAGCUUGGAGGGAUCCUUGCAAUUCUAUAUGAAUUUGAAGAUCAACUUUUCUAUUUCUGCAAAAAAAAAAGUCAUCGGAAUUUUGAUUGAGAUUCCGCUGAAUAUGGAGAUUGCUGCAGGGAGUACUGACAUCUUAAAGAUAUUAAGUCUUCUAAUCCAUAAACACAACAUGUCUUUCCAUUUAUUUAGGUCUUCUUUAAUUUCUUUCGACUAUGUUUUUUAGUUUUCUAUAUAUAAAUCUUUAACUUCCUUAGUUAAGUUCAUUCCUAGGUAUUUUAUUAUUUUUGGAUGCUACUAUAAACAGAAUUGUUUUCUUAAUUUCCUUUUUGAACUGUUCAUUGAUGGUGUCAUUCUGGUUUUGAUUUUCAUUUUCCUGAUGACUAACGACUGCCAUUCAUGUAUAUUUUUUGGUGAAAUGUAAUCUUUCAUUCUUAAUCUCCCACUCUCUAUUUCUAUGAGUGGAGAGAGGGGGAGUCCCUUUGCCUCUCGGAUACUUUCUCCCUUCUUCCUUUUCUCUUCACUUUCAAAAAGAACUUAACAGGGAGUUCCCAUCAUGACGCAGUGGUUAGUGAACCUGACUAGUAUCCAUGAGGAGGGGUUCAAUCCCGGGCCUCACUCAGUGGGUUAAGGAUCCGGCGUUGCCGUGAGCUGUGGUGUAGGCCAGCGGUUACAGCUCCAACUGGACCCCUAGCCUGCUAACCUCCAUAUGGCCCUGGUGCAGCCAUAAAAAAACAAACAAAAAAAAGAACUUAAGAGGUGGAGGGGUGGCUCAGUGCAGCGGUUAACACAGACAGUGGCGCCACACAUCCAGGCCCCACUCUGCCACUUACUAGCUUCAUGUCCUUGUGCAUGUUACUUAAUUUCUCUUUCAGUUUCUCCAAGCUUAAAACAGAGUGUUUUGUUAAACGAACUAAGCUUUUAUUUCAUUUGUGACAUAAAGUAACUACAAGCUACUACAGCUGAGCAUUUGCUAAAACCUACAAUGCAGUCAUGAGCAAAAGAGACACAGCCACAAUCCCACUGAGCUUCCAGUUCCUUUUUCCAAUGAAUGUGAACUCUCAAUUGCAAUUAACACCUGAGGGAGAGCCACAGGUGAGUGACUGUCACUGGGCAAUCUGACCUGGCUGUCAGCUUUUCUAAGGACAGCGGUGCUCAGUCUGAGCACAGAAGAUGUUAGCUAGUCAGAGGAGGAAGAGCAUCCCAGGCAGUGAGAACAUGUGGGGGGUGGCGGAGAGUCCAGCUGAGGCGGUCCGUGGAGAGCAGUGUGGAUGAAGCUUAGAGAAGGAAACGGGAGUGUGGUGGAAGAUGAGGCUAGAAGAGAAGCCAAGAACAGGCAGACUGUGCUGGGCCUCAAAGGCCUGGCUGAGAACUUGAAAGUUUAUUCUGAAGAAUAGGAGAUGCCACUGAGGUGUUUUAGCCAGGAGGGUGACAAAUUCAGAUUUGUUUUUCAAAGAAGUCCUUCUAUGCAAAGCACUGUUUGAGAAGAGAGCAUGAGGCCGAGUCUUGGAAGUACUGGAGCACUUACUAUCCAAAUAGAGCACUAUACAUCAAGAUGUGUAAGCAAUAAAAGGGCUUCCAGAAGCGGUGACCAUAGAAAUCAAACGCUGCUGAGAAGUACUCAAGGAAGAUGAAGUUUGAAAAACAUCUACUGGGAGUUCCCAUCGUGGUGCAGCGAAAACAAAUCCUACUAGGAACCAUGAGGUUGUGGAUUCAAUCCCUGGCCUUCCUCAGUGGGUUAAGGAUCCAGCGUUGCUGGGAGCUGUGGUGUAGGUCAUAGACGCGGCUCGGAUCUGGCGUUGCUGUGGCUGUGGCUGGGGGCUACAGCUCCAAUUAGACCCCUAGCCUGGGAACCUCCAUAUACCCAGGGGUGCAGCCCUUAAAAGGCAAAAAAAAAAAAAAAAAAUCUACUGGAUUCAGAGUCAGGAGCUAACAUCUAAGGAGACCCCAGACAGACCUCAGAGUCUCUCUGCCCUCUCCAUAGGCCCACAGCCAGUGUCUCAAGACUUCCCCACUGGCAGAUGAGAGCAGGUCUUUCUCAUUAAGCUUCCUAAGAUUCCCUGGCAGCUCUCCUGGCUGGCUGCACCAACUACAUCAUGGGACCAGGCCAGUUUGACCAUGUCGGCCCAUCUCAUCUAACCUACCUCACCCAUUUGGCUGCUCAGGAGCCAGAGGUACCUACUAGAUGUCAGCACGCAAGCAGCCUCAUGCCUCAGCUAAGCAGUACUUUGUGGUCAGACACCCGUUCCCAUCAUAGCUCUACCACUUAUCAAGAUCUUGGGGAAAGGUACUUCAACAGCUGAAACUGGUUUCUAAUAUGUAAAACAGUAUGACAAUGGCGUAUGUAUCAAGUACUCCACCUAUUUUAAAGAUUCAUAUUCAUUCUCUUGUUGACCAUGCAGGCAAUGGCGAUAUGACAGUCAAUCAAGCAGACAUCAUCCAGGCCCACAACAAGUGCCUAAUCUAGUCAGGGACCCAGUGGAUGCUUCGAUGGGAAAAGCACACAGCACUGGCUGAGGACUGGGUGGGUUGGGAAACAAAGGUCACACCCCUAAUCUCGACAGGGAGGGCAGGUUUUCCUUUGAGCAAGAUCACUCAUUACAGCAGAGAGACAGGGUAGGUACCACUCGCAAGCGAAGGUUUGGUUCCUGUCCUUAAAGAGAAUUUAAUUCGGCCGAGGAGGCAAGCAUAGAAAAACAACAAGAAAAAUGCAUAGAAAUCCCAGGCAACUACCAUUUCGCAAAAAGUCUCAGCUUAUCAAUUCUCAGGUUCCAAAUAUCCCCACCGUAAAAAGGCCUAAAGCUGGGCCCCUGGGUCAGUGGAUUAUCUGUCUCUCUCAAGACAUGGAGAAGCCCAGGACCCCUACUGCUUCAUUGGGCUUUCCCAGGUUCAAAGCCCUCUUACCCAGAAGCAAACACAAGGCCUGCCCUCAAAUUUGAUAGCUGGAGAAGAGGCUACUGAAGCUUCCCCCACCCCACCCCCUUGUCUCAGGCCUUCCUCCUCUGUUAGGCUCAGCUAUAAAUAGCUUGCUGGUUUCCAGCUGGGGAUCUCCCAGCCCUGCAAGCAGUAAGCACCGCCUUCUCACCCUUCUCACCCUGUGCUGCCCUCAGCCAGGAGCAGAAGUGGGUGAUGGCUGGCAGGGGAAAGGAGACUAGAAGGAGAGGGGAGGCAAGAACCAGCACCACAGAGAAGCUGGCCACUGGACCACAUUACCUGCGAUCCUAGAUGAUCGCUGGAAAGAAAAGGCUGGGGGGUACAGCCUUAUGUGAGAACAAGGCCAGUGGCAUCCUAGUCCCUGGGUGUGCAACCAGACCCAGACCCAGACCCAGACCCAGUUUUUUUGUUCCAAAAUCUAAUCCCUCAACCUUCAGUCCUGGACCUUCCAGAGCAUCUCCUCUCCAAGCACCAAUUCACAGGCACUCAGCCCACCUGAGGCCAGAGAGACAAACAUAGCUCCUUAUCUUUUGGCUUUAUUUGCAAUGUGUGUGUUUACUACCAGAGACUGGAGGCCUGUGAGUGAGUUUAUCUGAUCAAACCCAGAGGCUUCUCGGUGCCAAAAGCCCCCUCCCUGGCAUACUACUCCACUCAUUAUUCCCAAGAUCUGAGUAUCUCUUUGCCUGCCUCACCUGAGGAAGAACAAAUGCUCACAGGUUGGUCCUUGUUGCACCUCUGGAAGAGCUGGGGGCUGGGCGUUCAGGAACUGCUGCAGGUUUGGUCCCUCUCUCUGACCUUUGCUCAUCUCCCAGCAGAUGGAUCAGGGUAACCACGUGGCUGAGCCAGAUUUAAGUCCCUGGAGGCACUGUACCAGGGCCUGUCGGAGCUUGCUUGGUUCCUGCAGUGGAUAAAGCAGAGCUGUCACGCUAAGCAAAUGAAGCCAUUCUGAGUGGAAGAGGCACCCAGUGGGCACUGCUCCAGACCUCAGCCCCACUGCAGGUGCACACCUGCCCCAGCCCUGGCUCCCCCCACCCGAAUCUUUCAACUUUCCAUACAAGGUCAAACUAUUUGUGCUGGGUUCUGGAGCUCAGGAAGCUCCAGGCCACAGGAAGUGGGAGCACAGCAGGUGGUGAAGAUGACAGGGGUGCGACCUAACGUCGGGGACCCCCGUUCAAGGCGAAAAGGCACAGGGACUAGGGUGACAACUGGGUCCUUUCCCUCUCUCCCCUCCCUCAGAUAUAAAAAUAACAGUUCUCAUGUACUGAGCCAGGCACCAGGAACGCAAAGAUGAGUAAGAUCAAAUCACAGACUCAGUAAAUAAACUAUGUAUAAUACUGUGCAUCCCAGGCCUACGGGCUGGCGGGCGGGAAGGAUUUCCAGACGUCUGAAACAAGGAAGGGGUGAGAAGCAGUUCUACCAGGACGGUGUGGGAAGGGCCCUCGUGGCACAAGGGAGCGCUUGAGGAAAGGCAGGGAGGACAGAGAAACACACAGCAAGCGGGGAGGAAGGCAGGAGAGAGAAAUCCCGAAGACCCACUAGCAAAAUGCAGAGCGGGGGAGCAGUGAGCGAAGCCAGGCCCUCACACCGCGCUGAGGAGUUUGGGUUUCAGGUCCCGGGCCGGGAGGCGCGGGAGGAUCUCCAGCAAAGUCGGCUGCGCUUAGAGAAUGAGGCGGGGGAAAGUGGGACAAAACAUAAAACCGGUGGGGGACAUGGGAACCUCAGACCCGCCGGGCACUCCCAAGCCCGCCGGUCCCGCCUUUACCUCAGCCAGGCCGGGCCGCGCGUUCCAGGCCCCGCCGCCGCCCCCUC